rnacentral:lncRNA from 1 species
GUAAGAUAUUAGUGGUGCCGGCAAAUGAGUUGAAAAUGGGUCAAACAAAACUGAACUCGCUCAUAUUUCAUACACUAAUGGGUAUGAUCACUUUGCUUUUCAGGUUGACCAUUAGAUUUCUGAGAAUCCAGCAAGUUAAAUCAUCACAAAGAGGCAGAGGCUAAGCCAGAACAUCUGUGUUGAAACUGCAGCUGAAAGAAGCACACCAUUUCGUCAUUAAUAAGCUUCAAACAUACUCCAGUAGCCUUGAAAACAUGAUGUGUGAGAACCUUAAAAAGAGCACAUCAAUAAUGCACUACUUUGACAUAUGAACUGAACAUCACAACUCACAAGUGCAAUAAAUAAUGUUUCCACUAGAUUAAGCUGAUUGAAUAAAGAUUGAUUUUCACAAGAGAUGGGAACAGUGAAAAACAACCAACAUAAGCUUAAACCAACAUACUGAGACAUCAUUGACUGUUAGAACUUAUACAUCCAUGUACUCAGGGCAAAGGACUAUACUGUGUACCUACUUCACAUUCGAGUAAACAAGCAAGCAAGGGAAAUACCAUUAUUACUAGUAUCAAUUUAUCAAACACAAUCUUAUCUAGUAUAUUCAAACGUUUCCAAGUCAUGUUGGAUAGGAAGUUAAAAUGAGAAAUCUGGCAAGGAGACACCUCAUAUAUUAUGCAUUAGUAAUCUUGAAUACGAAUCAUGAUGAGCUUAAAUGAAGUAAGAUAAUAAAGAUUCAUAGAGUCGCCCCAACUAGCUUGAAGUGAGGCGUGAUAGUGGUUGUUAAUUGGAAGUCAGUGAGAAUGACAUAAAGAAAAAUCCAUCUGCUUAGAUACACGAAAUUCUGUCAAUAGCGACAGAUAAAUGUGCAAGCACAGUAAGAUAGAAAAAAUAAGUACCGCUGCUGCAUCUCAGUAGCAGGGACUGGACUGGAAAAGGAAACAUCCAUAACUGAAUCCAUUAAACAAUAAAAUGAUUGCCAAGACCAUAAUAGAUUAUCUGCAUUUCAAGAACAAGGAAAUAUUGUUUAGAUGAGUCAAUAUCAUCUUACCAAAAUAUUGCGAGUCGAGUCGUCAGAACAAACAGUUGAGAUAAGUACCUCAGAAAUCGACAAUAAAGCUGCCAAGAAAAAACAUGAGAACAUUCAUGAUUUGGAAGUUCACUAAGGUGUAUUCAGACAGUCAAUUGGAAAGUUUUUGGCAACUGAUUUUCUUUUCACUUGGUUAUUUGGCAACUCUCUUAUUUGCUCACUCUUAGAUAUUUCAAUUAUCAUAUAGAAAAUAUUUAAUACUCCCUUGUCUUAAGAUUCGUUGCUUAACAAGCCUUGACCACUAAACUAAAGGCCUAAAAUUGUGAAGAUUCACCAAAUCCAGCAUUCACCCAUCCACUCCAACCCCAAAUCCCCACUCCCAUUUUUUUUUAUAGAGAAUCUAAGAUUUCUCUCAUUGGAGUUCUAUUGUCAAUAGUUGAGAAAUUACAGUAAUCAAAAUUGAUGAGCUGUCACAAAAGGGAAAACAGAAUAGAUCAAAGUUAAUGACCCCGUAUCAUGAUUAAUCUAUUUCCAUAAAUAAAUGACCAGCUGUAGUCUACUGAUUUCUUAUCUGUCUAUAUAUUUUAUCCGUCGCCUCAGUCAGACAUUUUUAGAUUUUGAAAGCAAAUCCAACUCUAACGUUAGCAACAGUAGCUUCAACCUGAUUUGAACAGGAAUCAUUCAGAACCAGAUUUUAUGGGUAAACAAGGGCCAUGUUGCCAUUGUAGCAUCAAGCGUAAGUUCUAUUAACCACCUAUAUCCCGCCUUUUAUGUUUAUCAAUAAUCUCUUGCUUUACAGGAUAAUUGAUUCAGUGAUAUUUAGAAUUUAUGUGCCUGAUGUUAAGCAAAUAAACAUUGAAGAAUCACAUGCCUGAAACACUAAAUAACCAAAUUUCCCUAAAUUGCCGAUCUGUUAAACAUAAAACAUAGCGAACUUGAAUUUUCUCACCUCUCGAGCCAAAUGUUAAUUGAUUUUCAAAACAGCUCCCCUUAGUCUAACAGGAACCGAGGUCAUCUUGGAUAAAUUGUAGAUUUGGUCCCCAAUCCCUGGCAUAGAUGCACAUUUUGGACCCUGCUGUCUCCCGCUUCAUAUUUGGCACCAAUGACCCUGCUCCACAACAACUGUCUGUCAUUGGCAUAUCUCCAUAACCACUCCAUUCUAAGAGCUUUGCUUUGAAAUUCCAGAUUCUUUAUCCCAAGCCCCCAUUCUUCUUAGCAGUCAUCACAGAUUUCUAUUUUACCAGGUGGUACCCUUUCUUUUCUUUGUUUCCCAGCAACAAAAACUCUCUCUUAAUGUUGUCCAACCUUUUGAUAACCCCUGGUGGGAUGGGAAAUAAACGCAUCAUAUAAGUUGGUAAAGUAUCAAGGACUGAAUUAAUGAGAGUCGGUCUUCCUCUAAGGAGAGGUAUUGAGUUUUCCACCUGGCUAGCUUUUUUUCACACUUCUUUAUCACUCUAUCCCAUAUUUGUAUAGAUUUAGAUUUAGCCCCCAGAGGUAGUCCCAAGUAAAUUGAUGGCAGACUGCCAAAUUCUCCAUCAUGUAUAGCAGCUAGCCAGUUCACGUUGGUGACUUCAUUUAUAGGAUACAUUAGGAUCUUCCUCUAAAAUCUAUGUUGCUUGGACUCUCUGAAAUUGUUGCCGCACCCGUGUCGAAUUCUCCAAAAUGCACUACUUUUGGAGUAUCCGACAUGCACAACUUGACAUUUUUGAAAAAUCUGAGCAACAUAGACUAUAAUACCUACUCCAUUCCUACUCAAACUUCCUGAUUACCUUAACUUGAACCCACCUAUAUCCCUAGUCUUAGUUCCUACCCAUUAGGUGUCCUAAACACAAGGUAUAUUUUUAUUUUAUUUUGAUAACCGAGAAAUCCGUCUGUGACCCGCCCUUUGGACCAAUCACAGCCUUCUAAACUCAGUGGAUAAUGGGCCCGCCCCUCUACCCUUCUCCACUUAAAUACCAGGCUUCGCUUUGCAUGGUGUGGGGAUUGAACCUGCGACACAAGGUAUAUUGAUCCUCCUUCUCUUAAGAAUAAUCACCAACUCUAUUGACUUCCUCGCCAAUGUCCCUAUGUUCCAAGACAGAACUCUCAACCUAGGAGUUCCCUUGGUACCCUUACAACCCCUGCCCUCACCCCAAAUCACUGACAUGACUUUUAACUACCAUCAAACCUUUUGAAGCCACUAAUGCCAGUUAUAGAAUAAUCAAAAGUAAAUAAUCAAGUGGGGCAACCCGUAACGUCAAAAACCCUAGAUCCAAAAGUGGCAGUCACACAAUACAAUGAAGAAAAUAAAAAGAAGCAAUAAACUAUAGCAAAGAUACCAGUUCAAAGUAGGAACAAAGAAAAUGUAGUAAUAUUCACAAGGGCACAAUAAUAAAUUCACAAACACAAUAUCAGAUUUAAUAAAAUCAGUUAACAAUCAAGAAACGAUAAGGUCUGAACAAUCUCUCAAGGAAAAAUCAGGUCUAGAUAAGACAGGAAAAUAUAUAAAAGGGAUGGUGGAUCAUACCUAGGAGUUGAUGGGGAUAAAAAUAAACUAUGGACUGAUUUUCCGAAACCCAGCGAGCUCCGAUAUACUCCUGUCGUCUGUCGGUCGUCGGUCAUCAGGAUGGGGUCGCUGGAUUCUUGCUGACCGGUGUGGAAGUGCAACAAAAAAAAAACAGAGAAAGGGAGAAAGAAAGAGGGCAGGGGGAUUUCGUACCUGGUCGCCGGUGGUGGUGAGAGGUCAGGCCAGCAGCUUGCAGUGCAGGAGAGUAGUGGGUGAUCUGCUUUGGGGGGGGGGAGGGAAUUAUUUUACUGUUGAGCGCUAGAGAAAAGAAUAAGUCCCUGUUGAAUAUUAUACAGUUAACCACUGUCAGAUUAGAUGAUAGCAUUCCUCCUUAAAAUAUCAUGCAAAUAAAUGCAGUCUGCCAAGAGGUUAACUAUUUUGCAUGGUUCCUUAACACAACAAGCAAAUCCUUUUUAAUCUUUCCACCAUCAAGCUAGUUCAACUAUGUUGUAUGGUGCCAUAAGAUGGUGAUGAAAAUGUGUGUACACAUCCUAAAAGUCUAUAUAUGUUUCACAGAAAGAUAUUUCCUCUUGUUUUGCCAAAGAUAUUCCCCGCUAUACGUACUCUAGUUUCGUGACGCUUUUGUUCUCGUACAGUACAUUCUUAACCUUUUAAAGAAAAUCUUAAUUGUCAAUGGUCAUUGUGCUUUAGUUUCUGAGAUAAGUUACCUGUAAGAUUUUAUUCAUAUUUUGUCCCAUUUAAAUGCUAAUUAAUUGUGAACUCAAACAGAAACCCCCCUAUGGAGACCUGGGCCAACUGCAAAACCAGUGCUCUGCAAUGCGUGUGGAAUAAGAUGGCGAACUAGGGGAACACUAGAUGACUAUCUUCCCAAACAUGCAAGCAACGAAAAACAGAGCCAUCAGUUACCUUCUGAGAUGAAGCCGCAUCUCUUAGCUCGUGAUGACCAAAAGCUGGAAGUUGGUGAAGAGAUUUCUGGACAGGAUGGCUCUUCAGCUUGUCUUGAAGAGGAAAUGAUUCACAUAUCAAGCUUAGGUUCAGCAGGAUCAUCCCCAGACAAAUGCAUGCAAAUGGAAGAAACAAAUGGUAAAAAAAUUUCACUUAUAUAUACAUGAUGGACUUAA